rnacentral:rRNA from 1 species
UACGUAGGGUGCGAGCGUUUAAUCGGAAUUACUGGGCGUAAAGCGUGCGCAGGCGGUUUUGUAAGCCAGAUGUGAAAUCCCCGGGCUUAACCUGGGAAUGGCAUUUGGGACUGCAAGGCUGGAGUGCGGCAGAGGAGACUGGAAUUCCUGGUGUAGCAGUGAAAUGCGUAGAUAUCAGGAGGAAUACCGAUGGCGAAGGCAGGUCUCUGGGCUGACACUGACGCUCAUGCACGAAAGCGUGGGGAGCAACAGG